AUUGAACGCUGGCGGCAUGCCUUACACAUGCAAGUCGAACGGCAGCACGGGUGCUUGCACCUGGUGGCGAGUGGCGAACGGGUGAGUAAUACAUCGGAACGUACCUUAUCGUGGGGGAUAACGCAGCGAAAGCUGUGCUAAUACCGCAUACGCCCUGAGGGGGAAAGCGGGGGAUGGCAAGACCUCGCGCGAUACGAGCGGCCGAUGCCUGAUUAGCUUGUUGGUGGGGUAAAAGCCCACCAAGGCGACGAUCAGUAGCGGGUCUGAGAGGACGAUCAGCCACACUGGGACUGAGACACGGCCCAGACUCCUACGGGAGGCAGCAGUGGGGAAUUUUGGACAAUGGGGGCAACCCUGAUCCAGCAAUGCCGCGUGAGUGAAGAAGGCCUUCGGGUUGUAAAGCUCUUUUGUCAGGGAAGAAACACCGGCUCUAACACAGUCUGGGAAUGACGGUACCUGAAGAAUAAGCACCGGCUAACUACGUGCCAGCCGCCGCGGUAA
rnacentral:rRNA from 1 species